rnacentral:rRNA from 1 species
CCUACGGGAGGCUGCAGUGGGGAAUAUUGGGCAAUGGGCGCAAGCCUGACCCAGCAACGCCGCGUGAAGGAAGAAGGCCCUCCGGUUGUAAACUUCUUUUGUCAGGGACGAAGAAAGUGACGGUACCUCACGAAUAAGCCACCGCUAACUACGUGCCAGCAGCCGCGGUAAUACGUAGGUGGCAAGCGUUAUCCGGAUUUACUGGGUGUAAAGGGCGUGUAGGCGGGACUGCAAGUCAGAUGUGAAAUUCCAGGGCUCAACCCUGGAACUGCAUUUGAAACUGUAGUUCUUGAGUGAUGGAGAGGCAGGCGGAAUUCGGGGUGUAGCGGUGAAAUGCGUAGAUAUACGGAGGAACACCAGUGGCGAAGGCGGCCUGCUGGACAGUAACUGACGCUGAGGCGCGAAAGCGUGGGGAGCAAACAGGAUUAGAUACCCUUGUAGUC